AUGCAAUUUAUUAUGACACACCUUGUUUACCUGGCUAAUAAGGGAGGUGCUCCUACAUGCUACACCGCCAGACUUACAGAGGAAUCUUGCUGAUGGCUUCAGAGUUCAACAACGGCUGGUCUUCCACUGGUCCCUCUCUUUUCUUGCAUUGAAACUUUAAAAACUACCUGUCUUGUGUUCUUCUCUACGUAAUCCUAAAGAGGGCAACUUAAAACCUAGGAAGGUCAUCUUGGUUCAAGGCUGAGAUGUAUACACAUGUACCAGUACCCACUCUCACGCGUGGGCUGUGGCCAGUGCUCACUAUGGAAGACAUUGUUGAAGCAGGGCUGUUUCUGUUGGUCUAGGUUCAAUAUUGUAAGAAAACCUUUAUUCUUUAAUGCAGAGAUAGGAAAGCCAGGACUCUACAGAGCUUGGCAGUUAACUUAAAUCACUAAAGAGAGCAAGUAAGCCUAAGAAAAUCCACAGCACGAGUAAGAUGAGUAUGGCAGGGGAUGCACAGCCCCAGUGCCAGUGAGAGCGAUGGUGAGUGCCAGUGGACCCUGGAGAAUACAGGCUUAAGACGACGACGAUGACACUGGGAAUCUGGAUGUGAUUUGAGACUGCCUGUUACUAAAUGGUAACACUAGUUUUAAGCAUUGGGUGGGCCAAAUAGAAUAGUCUCUGCCAAGCAGAUUUGAUGUGGACUGCCAAAGUGUGACCUUAAACUUAGCCCCUCUACCCUGAGGAGCCUAGGAGUCCACUGCUGCCCUGGCUUGCUGACCAGCACAGCUUUGCUCCUAUGGGGCUCCAGUGGUGGUUCUGCCCCAACCUUCUUCCCUCCCAGCUGCCUGUGGGCUUGCCUUUUAACUUUUGACUAUCGAACUACCUUCCAGGUGUGUCUGAUGUCCUGCCAAUCCACAGUAUUUAUUUUAGCGCCACGUGAGUGUGAUGUUUUUGUACACCUGGGCAUCGGUGCUUAGAUGGACACACACAUGCUGAGGAGAGCGUGUUUCGCCACUGGAUAAAUAAGAAGCCGUGUUUUCUCUUUUCUUUUAUUUUGGACUUGCCGACCUUUAUGCUUUGAGAAUGUAUGGCAGGGCUCCAGCUGUGGCCCUGACAUCAGGGGAGCGGGUCCUGUCAGCGGCCCAGUCUGUUUGCCCACUUCUCAGAAGUCCCUAGAAUUUUAGGGUUUUACAAGCAGGUCUUUCUUUCUCUUGGGAUCAGACUACCUUUGGCAAAUGACUGGAUAAGCCCAUGAAUGCUUCGGUUGAUUAUGGAUAGACUAUCUUGCUCUUCCUUCUAAGGGUUCCUGACACUAAAGCUUUGUGUCUGUUGGCUCCCUGGGACAUAAGGGAGUAAGAACCAUUAUUCACCAAGCCCGGCAGUGAUGAUAUACUUUAUAAAUCGCAUCUCAGCCCCCACAGUUCUGUAAACUGAGAACAAUUAUACAAAGUCCUGUUGUAUGAUGUUAAAAUAAGAUGAGGUAAAGUGACCUACCCAGGUCAGACCCAGUCCCGAGAAGUGGUAAGAGAUGAAAUCCUAUCAAUCCUAUGUGCCUGAGUUUAUGAAUGGGGUCUGGAGAUGGCUCAGCAGUUAAGACCACUGGCUAUUCUUCCCAAGGACUGUGGGGUUUUACCCCCAAUGCCCACGUGCUGGCUCAAAGCACACUGUAACUACAGAUCCUGGGGAUCCAAUGCCCUCUCUGACUGCCAUAGGUACCAGGUACACACAUUGUGUGCAGGCACACAUGCAAGCAAAACAUAUGCAUUAAAUAGACACCAAAU
rnacentral:lncRNA from 1 species